rnacentral:rRNA from 1 species
AUUGAACGCUGGCGGCAGGCCUAACACAUGCAAGUCGAGCGAGCGGCGGACGGGUGAGUAAUGUCUGGGAAACUGCCUGAUGGAGGGGGAUAACUACUGGAAACGGUAGCUAAUACCGCAUACCAUCAGAUGUGCCCAGCUGGGAUUAGCUAGUAGGUGGGGUAAUGGCUCACCGAGGCGACGAUCCCUAGCUGGUGUGAGAGGAUGACCAGCCACACUGGAACGGAGACACGGCCCAGACUCCACCGGGAGGCAGCAGUGGGGAAUAUUGCACGAUGGGGGCAAGCCUGAUGCAGCCUUGCCGCGUGUGUGAAGAAGGCCUUCGGGUUGUAAAGCACCUGCAGCGGGGAGGCGUUACCCGCAGAAGAAGCACCGGCUAACUCCGUGCCAGCAGCCGCGGUAAUAC